CAGUGGUACUAACCUCCAGUCCCUCUCAGCUGGGGGCAAUCUGGAAACUGGUGCCAGCCUGAAGAAUUGCAAGGGUUAGAGCAUCCAUGUGCCAGGUCACACAUCAGAAGACAAGUGUGAAUUCACAGUUGUCUCCUUGCACCAGAAGCGAAGCUUUGAAACUGAAAGGAUGAAGGAGGAUAAUGGUUUAAGAACCUUAAUGGACCAGAUUGCUGUGUGGAGAAGAAUGCUGAAACUGGACCAAGAGUUGGCAAGAAUGAAUUCUUUGAUCAGCUCGUAAUGUCUGCAGUGGCCAGUCCAUGUGUGAAAAGCUGCAGGAGGACCCACCAUCCCCCUGAAGACCCCAAAACCCUGCCUGGGAUGCCUCCUGGCCCUCCCUCGUCUGAAGCCAGUUGAACAGCACACCUACAUCACUGCAAUGUGGAGUCCUCCCGCAGUGCAGCAGAUAAUACUGAAUGGAGAAGGUGAGGGGCAGGCCCCCCAGGAUAUGAGAUUUUUCUUCAUAACCAGAGUGACCACAGCUUCCUGAGAGUGAAGGGUCUGCAUGGGAUUGAUGCUGUCUCCAACCUUCUUCUCCUUGCUUUCUACAACACCUUCUGUGUACCUCUCCUGCCUCUGAAAAGAUUGUCUUCUCACCUAUAUGAGUGAACUGGUUGCAGUUGUUUUUAGGAACGGAGAAGGCAGUUGAAUUUAUUUGCAGAUCAACACUGCAGCUGCCAAGUGCCAAAGAACAGAUCUUUGGAGAAAAAGAAACUCUCACUACAAAGGAAAAUAAAUGUAGACUAGCUUGUUUUCACUUCUAAAGCAGGUAGCAAGCCUGUGUGUUUCCUCCCAGCACCUAGAAUCCUUCUCUCCAGUAGUUGGCAUUCCAUAAAUAGCACAGUCUAAUUUCUGGCAUAUGCGGGGACUCUGAGGCAAAUGGAGUGGGGAAGGAGCCGCAGAAAAUGGGUUCCCCUUUUUUGAGUGAUCCUUUGUUAGUGAUUGGCACAGUCACCCCCCCCCAGGGGGCUCAGAAUAUAGUUUACAGAAAAUCAAGGAAGUGUCAAUAUAAAAGAGGCUCCAAAGAAACAGCUACUGGUCAUGCUUUUAGAUUGUAAUCACAGAGCUGUUGAGCCACUGCUUGGCGUACUUUGUAUCAUGCCCGAGAGCAUAACUCUGCUCAGGCACAGAAAUCAGCAAUGAGGCUGGAAGAUUCCUGGCCUGAGAUAGCCUGCACACUUGCAGUGGAAGAACCUAUCUCUUGGGCAGAUCUCUUCGCCUUUCGAGACUGAAGUUGGAUUUGUAAAGUGAUUAAACUUUUUUUGACUAGCAGGAAAAAUUCACUUCGUGUUCUCCCCUGGUCCGACUGAGUGAGCACCAACUAUGUGCCAGGUACACUCGGAGGAAUGGAGGACACAAUUUUUGAGAGAAGUAAGGAGGUUCUUGACUGAGAGGAGCCUGGAAGAGGAGCCAGGUGGUGGCAUACCUGGUAAAACACACAGGUUACUAAGUGUGAAGACCCAGGCCCAAGCCCCUGGCCCCCAUCUG